rnacentral:rRNA from 1 species
GAUGAACGCUGGCGGCGUGCCUAAUACAUGCAAGUCGAGCGAACAGAUGAGGAGCUUGCUCCUCUGACGUUAGCGGCGGACGGGUGAGUAACACGUGGAUAACCUACCUAUAAGACUGGGAUAACUUCGGGAAACCGGAGCUAAUACCGGAUAAUAUAUUGAACCGCAUGGUUCAAUAGUGAAAGACGGUUUUGCUGUCACUUAUAGAUGGAUCCGCGCCGCAUUAGCUAGUUGGUAAGGUAACGGCUUACCAAGGCAACGAUGCGUAGCCGACCUGAGAGGGUGAUCGGCCACACUGGAACUGAGACACGGUCCAGACUCCUACGGGAGGCAGCAGUAGGGAAUCUUCCGCAAUGGGCGAAAGCCUGACGGAGCAACGCCGCGUGAGUGAUGAAGGUCUUCGGAUCGUAAAGCUCUGUUAUUGGGGAAGAACAAAUGUGUAAGUAACUAUGCACGUCUUGACGGUACCUAAUCAGAAAGCCACGGCUAACUACGUG